GGAUUUAAGCAUAUCACUAAGCGGAGGAAAAGAAACUAACAAGGAUUCCCCUAGUAACUGCGAGUGAACAGGGAUUAGCCCAGCACCGAAGCCUGUGGUUAUUUGACUGCAAGGCAAUGUGGUGUUUAGGUUUGUUCUUGGCAUUACUGCUCUGCCCCAAGUCCAGCAAUGAGUACGGCAUACCGUUCUGGCCCAUAGAGGGUGAAAGGCCCGUGGGGGUAGAGACCAAGCAUGACAGUUUUGUCCAGAGCUUACCUUGGAGUCGGGUUGUUUGAGAAUGCAGCCCAAAGUGGGUGGUAAACUCCAUCCAAGGCUAAAUACUUGCACGAGUCCGAUAGUAAACAAGUACCGUGAGGGAAAGUUGAAAAGUACUUUGAAGAGAGAGUAAACAGUGCGUGAAACCGCUCAGAGGUAAACGGGUGGAGUUGAACUGCGAUCCUUGGGAAUUCAGCUGAUGAGCAUGAUUUGUGCUUGGGCAUAUUGACCGCCCUUCAGUGUCUGCUUAGCUGCGGGUGCCUGCCUCUGGUGGGUAUGUGUGGUGCGCUUAUCAUGUGCCGCACGCAUUGGAGGGUGUAUGAGUCUGCUUGUCGGUGCACUUUCUCAGGGUGUUCACCACGACCGGCACUGCUGUCUGUCUGCUUUGGUCAAACUGAUCAGGUCUGAUUAACGUUGGGCUUGGUUGGGUUGGCAGGUGACUCACUGGUCCAUUCUGUGGGCUAUGAGUGUUACUAGCCGGCUUUAGUGGAUCUGUACGGUGUGUCGGAGACGGCGGCUUUGCAUAUGCGCUCUGUCCUUCAGGCGUGGUUGAGUCUGGUCGACUUGUUGCUAGUUUCGGCUGGUCAGUUGAUGGCUUGAUCAUGUUCAGUUGGCAGUGGUGUGUGUGUCUUAGUUUGGGCCAAUAGUCUGUGGUGUUGUGGUAGACUAUCCACCUGACCCGUCUUGAAACACGGACCAAGGAGUUUAACAUGUGCGCGAGUCAUUGGGCUUUACGAAACCCAAAGGCGCAGUGAAGGUAAAGGUUUGGCUUGUCCAGGCUGAGGUGAGAUCCUGUUGUUUUGCUCAUUCAUUCCAAGCUGCGAGCAGCAGGCGCAUCACCGGCCCGUCCCAUGACGUAGACAUGUGGCCUUGUGCCAUGUGCACCGUCGGGGCGGAGCAAGAGCGUACAUGUUGAGACCCGAAAGAUGGUGAACUAUGCUUGCGAAGGUUGAAGCCAGAGGAAACUCUGGUGGAGGACCGUAGCGAUUCUGACGUGCAAAUCGAUCGUAUAACGUGAGUAUAGGGGCGAAAGACUAAUCGAACCAUCUAGUAGCUGGUUCCCUCCGAAGUUUCCCUCAGGAUAGCUGGCAUUCUGAGAUAUAAACAGUUUUAUCCGGUAAAGCGAAUGAUUAGAGGCAUUGGGGAGAAAACAUCCUCAACCUAUUCUCAAACUUUAAAUGGGUGAGAAGCUUAACUCGCUUAAAUGGAGUUUUGCAUUGAAUGUGAGUGCCAAGUGGGCCAUUUUUGGUAAGCAGAACUGGCGCUGUGGG
rnacentral:rRNA from 1 species